rnacentral:rRNA from 1 species
AGGACGAACGCUGGCGGCGUGCUUAACACAUGCAAGUCGAGCGGAAAGGCCCUUCGGGGUACUCGAGCGGCGAACGGGUGAGUAACACGUGAGCAACCUGCCCCUGGCUCUGGGAUAGCCUCCGGAAACGGGGAUUAAUACCGGACAUUCACUGCCUGCCGCAUGGUGGGUGGUGGAAAGUUUUUCGGCCAGGGAGGGGCUCGCGGUCUAUCAGCUUGUUGGCGGGGUAACGGCCCACCAAGGCGACGACGGAUAGCCGGCCUGAGAGGGCGAUCGGCCACACUGGGACUGAGACACGGCCCAGACUCCUACGGGAGGCAGCAGUGGGGAAUAUUGCACAAUGGGCGCAAGCCUGAUGCAGCGACGCCGCGUGGGGGAUGAAGGCCUUCGGGUUGUAAACCCCUUUCACCAGGAGCGAAUUCAGACGGUACCUGGGGAAGAAGCGCCGGCUAACUACGUCGCCAGCAGCCGC